GUGUCUUAUUUGGGUCUAGUAAUAGGGUUAUGUGCUUCCUGGGGUUUGAGGGAAAGACUUCUGAUUCUGGGGAAGGUACUUCCUGGGAAAACUGCUGAGAAGUGCAUGAGGAGUCUAAAUGCAGGACUGGUUCCUGAAGGAGUCUCAAAGUGUUGUCUGCUGCAAAAAGUUGGAAUUAUGGAUACCAGCAACAGAGGGCUGAGCAAAAUGCAGUAGAACGGGGACAGAGACAGAGCUGGCAAUCAUCUCGGUG